AGAGUUUGAUCCUGGCUCAGAGCGAACGCUGGCGGCAGGCCUAAAACAUGCAAGUCGAACGCCGUAGCAAUACGGAGUGGCAGACGGGUGAGUAACACGUGGGAACGUACCCUUUGGUUCGGAACAACACAGGGAAACUUGUGCUAAUACCGGAUAAGCCCUUACGGGGAAAGAUUUAUCGCCGAAGGAUCGGCCCGCGUCUGAUUAGCUAGUUGGUGGGGUAACGGCCCACCAAGGCUACGAUCAGUAGCUGGUCUGAGAGGAUGAUCAGCCACACUGGGACUGAGACACGGCCCAGACUCCUACGGGAGGCAGCAGUUAGGAAUCUUGGACAAUGGGCGCAAGCCUGAUCCAGCCAUGCCGCGUGAGUGAUGAAGGCCUUAGGGUUGUAAAGCUCUUUCAGCGGGGAAGAUAAUGACGGUACCCGCAGAAGAAGCCCCGGCUAACUUCGUGCCAGCAGCCGCGGUAAUACGAAGGGGGCUAGCGUUGCUCGGAAUCACUGGGCGUAAAGCGCACGUAGGCGGAUCUUUAAGUCAGGGGUGAAAUCCUGGAGCUCAACUCCAGAACUGCCUUUGAUACUGGGGAUCUCGAGUCCGGGAGAGGUGAGUGGAACUGCGAGUGUAGAGGUGAAAUUCGUAGAUAUUCGCAAGAACACCAGUGGCGAAGGCGGCUCACAGGCCCGGUACUGACGCUGAGGUGCGAAAGCGGGGGGAGCAAACAGGACUAGAUACCCUGGUAGUCCACGCCGUAAACGAUGGAUGCUAGCCGCUGGCGGGUUUACUCGUCAGUGGCGCAGCUAACGCAUUAAGCAUCCCGCCUGGGGAGUACGGUCGCAAGAUUAAAACUCAAA
rnacentral:rRNA from 1 species